AAAUUUUAAAGGAUUAGCAUUUCUUAUUGUUUACCCUAUCCCUAACCCUAUCCACUCAAAUUUUAAAAAUUGAAGCCAAGUUAUUUGAAAAGAGCUAAAACACUAUCACAAUUUUGCUAUAUUCUUCACGUUUAUUGUAUUAAAUAAAACAUGCUUUCAAGAUAUUGGGAAUAAAAAAAAUUAAAUAUCAGUUAUUAAUAUCUAAUACCCAAAAUAA
rnacentral:lncRNA from 1 species